rnacentral:rRNA from 1 species
GAUGAACGCUGGCGGCGUGCCUAAUACAUGCAAGUCGAGCGAAGCGGGGACGGGUGAGUAACACGUGGAUAACCUCCUAUAAGACUGGGAUAACUUCGGGAAACCGAACCUAACCCGGAAACUAAUUAUUGGUUCCGCGUGGCAUUAGCUAGUUGGUAAGUUAACGGCUUACCAAGGCAACGAUGCAUAGCCGACCUGAACGGGUGAUCGGCCACACUGGAACUGAGACACGGUCCAGACUCCUACGGGAGGCAGCAGUAGGGAAUCUUCCGCAAUGGGCGAAAGCCUGACGGAGCAACGCCGCGUGAGUGAUGAAGGUCUUCGGAUCGUAAAACUCUGUUAUUAGGGAAGCGGUACCUAAUCAGAAAGCCACGGCUAACUACGUGCCAGCAGCCGCGGUAAUUC